GUCCACGCCGUAAACGAUGUGUGCUUGACGUUGGUGGGUUUACCCGCCGGUGUCGCAGCUAACGCGAUAAGCACACCGCCUGGGGAGUACGGCCGCAAGGUUAAACUCAAAGGAAUUGACGGGGCCCGCACAAGCGGUGGAGCAUGUGGUUUAAUUCGACGCAACGCGAAGAACCUUACCAGCCCUUGACAUGGGGAGUAUGGGCCGCAGAGACGCGGCUCUUCAGUUCGGCUGGCUCCCACACAGGUGCUGCAUGGCUGUCGU
rnacentral:rRNA from 1 species